CACGUAGGGCGCAAGCGUUGUCCGGAAUUAUUGGGCGUAAAGAGCUCGUAGGCGGUCUGUUGCGUCCGCUGUGAAAACUCGGGGCUUAACCCCGGGCCUGCAGUGGGUACGGGCAGACUAGAGUGCGGUAGGGGAGACUGGAAUUCCUGGUGUAGCGGUGAAAUGCGCAGAUAUCAGGAGGAACACCAAUUGCGAAGGCAGCUCGCUGGGACGUUACUGACGCUGAGACGCGAAAGCGUGGGGAGCAAACAGG
rnacentral:rRNA from 1 species